CCUGGGUCUUGGCCCUGCACUUGCUUCCUUGGUGCCCUUCCUGUGGCCAGCACCGCAGGGUUUCCUGGAAGGCGCAGCAGCCUCCUCCGCUGUCACCACCCCCUCCAUCAGCAGAUCCGCCCUCUGACCACUUCCUCCUCGCGGACACCUCGCGGGCUCUCAGCCCUCCCGCUGCCUGGGCUCUAUGGUGGCCACAGGUGCACUGCAGGUCUUCGGGGUUCUGAGUCCAGCCGCCCGGGAUGGGCUCGCGGCACCCAACGCCCGGCCUUCCGCUUCUCUAAGACUGAAGCCCCGAGCUGCUCUCUGAGCCCUCAGAGCCCUUCGUCCACUUCCCUCGUUCAACUGGACUCACCAGCGGGACGAUGCCACACCUGCUCGUGACACCUGCUCUCUCCACCACCCACCUGCUCACACCACUGCUGGGAGGUCCCACACAAACCAGCCACACGAACCAGAGGCCAGGUGGCACGUCGUGUGCAUAGGGAGUGGGACUCCAGGUGACCCACGUGCACUCCUGGGUACUUACCCAAAUCCACAUCCUGUAGUGACACAAGUCACACAGCCAAGUCAUGGAACCAGCCCAGGCGUCCUUCAGCAGAUGAGCGGAUGAAGAAGAUGUGGUGUGCGUGGGUGUGCAUGUGUGCAUGUGCGUGUGCGUGUGUGCAUGUGCAUGUGUGUGCGUGUGUGUGCAUGUGUGUGCGUGUGCGUGUGUGCAUGUGCAUGCAUGUGCGUGUGUGUGCAUGUGUGUGUGCAUUAGUGGUUCCACUCAGCUACAUAGGAGAGUGAAACCAUAUCCCUGUUGGUACGUGGCGGGAAUUGGGGAACAUCAUGCUGAGUGAAAUGUGAAGCAGAAAGUCAGGGUCGAUCGUGCUCUCUCAUCUGUGGAAGUUGGAAACGAGGAGGGAAGUGGUUUUCAUAAAAUAGCACAGUGGGUAGGAUGAGAGGGAAAGGGGGACAGGGAAAUGAAACUGACCACAGUGUGCGUGUGUCGUCACAUGACCUGCCGUGAACCCCACUGAUCAUGAUGCACCGAUCACAGGACUUUACAGAGGGACACAGAUGUCUGUUUCCUGACAAGUCAUGUCUGCUGGGACCUUGAAACUCCAACCUGGGCAAAUGUCUUCUAGGGAAAACCAAUUAUGGCCGGGCAUAAGGUGCACACGCCUGUAAUCCCUGCACCCCAGGAGGCUGAGGCAGGAGGAUCUCAAGUUCAAAGCCAGCCUCAGCAACAGCAAGGAAAAGAAGGGGUGCUUCCAACCUCACCCCACCACCCACCUCCCUCCUGGCUGAGGUGCAGUAAGCACUGGGGGUUCUGCCCCUGGGCACACCUGGGAUGCCUGAGCCCUCGCUGCGGUGGCAACACACACACAUCCCACUUCCCACUGUGACCUUCUCAGGGGAGGAACGGGGCUGGGACCUGACCCUCACAAUCACAGGCAGCGACUUUCAGAGCUUAAGUCACCGAGGGACAUUCCGCAGCCACGGAGCAAGUCACUCUGCGUCCCCUCCCCCGGCCCCGGAAACACCCAUCUGUCCCUACGCAUUUCACUAUUUUCUAUUCUCUUUUUAAAUCUCACUGGUCUUGCUGGCCCCAGUGGGCAGGAAACAGGGAUACAGCUGUACCCCCGGUGCACAGGGGACCCCACCUUGAGAGGGUCUGACCCUAGGUGUCAGCCAUUCUGGGGCUGAAGCCUGUGAGGGGGUCUUGCCUGAACAGUCCCCAGGGUAAGGUCCCCUCCCCCAGUCUCCCCACUGGGUAAAUAAAGACCGGGCAGGAGGUUUUUCUCACCUACAAGAGAGGAGCUGUUAAAACCUCAGCCCCAGGAUGUCCAGAGCCCCUGUCCCACAUCCUGUGCCUCCUCAGCACCAGGACAGCAGGGCAGGACCUCUCUGGGCUGGGGGUGGGCAUGCCUUUCUGAUCUUUGCAAGACGCCAGCAGCUCCUCCUCAGGUGACAAACAGCAAGUUCUCUCAGCACUGCCCACGGUCCAGAGGGCAUCAGUUCACACUCCAAGGACACCCGCCUCAAAGGGGCUCUGUGCUGGUCCUCCUUUGCUUAUGAAAUAAAUAAAUCUCUUUGGGGAAAUCUC